rnacentral:rRNA from 1 species
UACGUAGGGGGCGAGCGUUGUCCGGAUUUACUGGGCGUAAAGGGUGAGUAGGCGGUUAUAUAUGUCAGGUGUAAAAGGCUAUGGCUUAACCAUGGUUAGCACUUGAAACUGUAUGACUUGAGUGCAGGAGAGGUAAGCGGAAUUCCUAGUGUAGCGGUGAAAUGCGUAGAUAUUAGGAGGAACACCGGUGGCGAAGGCGGCUUACUGGACUGUAACUGACGCUGAGUCACGAAAGCGUGGGUAGCAAACAGGAUUAGAUACCCUGGUAGUCCCU